AUUGAACGCUGGCGGCAUGCCUUACACAUGCAAGUCGAACGGCAGCGCGGACUUCGGUCUGGCGGCGAGUGGCGAACGGGUGAGUAAUACAUCGGAACGUACCCUGUUGUGGGGGAUAACUAGUCGAAAGAUUAGCUAAUACCGCAUACGACCUGAGGGUGAAAGUGGGGGACCGCAAGGCCUCACGCAGCAGGAGCGGCCGGUGUCUGAUUAGCUAGUUGGUGGGGUAAAGGCCCACCAAGGCGACGAUCAGUAGCUGGUCUGAGAGGACGAUCAGCCACACUGGGACUGAGACACGGCCCAGACUCCUACGGGAGGCAGCAGUGGGGAAUUUUGGACAAUGGGGGCAACCCUGAUCCAGCAAUGCCGCGUGUGUGAAGAAGGACUUCGGGUUGUAAAGCACUUUUGUCCGGAAAGAAAUCGCGCUGGUUAAUACCUGGCGUGGAUGACGGUACCGGAAGAAUAAGCACCGGCUAACUACGUGCCAGCAGCCGCCGUAA
rnacentral:rRNA from 1 species